UAAAGCACAAAGAAGGGCGUUUGGCGGAUGCCUUGGCGUCAAGAGGCGAUGAAGGACGUGGCACGCUGCGAAAAGCCAUGGGGAGCCGCGAGCAGGCUUUGAUCCAUGGAUAUCCGAAUGGGGAAACCCGGCUCUUAUGAGUCAUCCCUGACUGAAUACAUAGGUCAGGGAAGCAAACCCGGCGAAUUGAAACAUCUCAGUAGCCGGAGGAAAGGACAUCAACCGAGACUCUGUUAGUAGCGGCGAGCGAACGCGGACCAGGCCAGUGGCGCUUGGAUUUAAACCGGAACCGUCUGGAAAGUCGGGCCAUAGCGGGUGAUAGCCCCGUACGGGUAAAAAAUCCUUGCGUCCUCGAGUAGGGCGGAACACGUGAAAUUCUGUCUGAACAUGGGGGGACCACCCUCCAAGCCUAAGUACUCCUUGACGACCGAUAGCGCACAAGUACCGUGAGGGAAAGGUGAAAAGUACCCCUAGCGGGGAGUGAAACAGACCUGAAACCGAACGCCUACAAGCAGUGGGAGCCCGUAAGGGUGACCGCGUACCUUUUGUAUAAUGGGCCAGCGAGUUAGUCUCUCGAGCAAGCUUAAGCCGUUAGGCGUAGGCGGAGCGAAAGCGAGUCUGAAUAGGGCGACAGAGUUCGAGGGAUUAGACCCGAAGCCGAGCGAUCUAGCCAUGGGCAGGUUGAAGGUGCAGUGACAUGCACUGGAGGACCGAACCCACCUCUGUUGAAAAAGGGGGGGAUGACCUGUGGUUAGGGGUGAAAGGCCAAUCAAGCUCGGCGAUAGCUGGUUCUCCGCGAAAGCUAUUUAGGUAGCGCGUCAUGUAUUGCCAUCGGGGGUAGAGCACUGGAUAGGCUAGGGGGCCGCGAGGCUUACCAAACUUAACCAAACUCCGAAUACCGAUGAGUAUGAGCAUGGCAGACAGACUACGGGUGCUAAGGUCCGUAGUCGAGAGGGAAACAGCCCUGACCUUCAGCUAAGGCCCCUAAAUCACGACUAAGUGGGAAAGGAUGUGGGACAGCCAAGACAGCCAGGAGGUUGGCUUAGAAGCAGCCAUCCUUUAAAGAAAGCGUAACAGCUCACUGGUCUAAAUAAGGGUUCCUGCGGCGAAGAUGUAACGGGGCUAAAGAUAUGCACCGAAGCUUAGGGUUCAGAAUUUAUUCUGAGCGGUAGCGGAGCGUUCCGUAAGUGGUUGAAGCCGAAGGGUAACCGACGGUGGACAUAUCGGAAGUGCGAAUGCUGACAUGAGUAGCGACAAACAGGGUGAGAUGCCCUGUCGCCGAAAGACCAAGGGUUCCUGCUCAACGCUAAUCGGAGCAGGGUUAGCCGGCCCCUAAGACGAGCCCGAAGGGGGUAGUCGAUGGGAACCACGUAAAUAUUCGUGGGCCUGAAGAUGUGUGACGGAUCGUGGAAGUUGUUCGACCUUAUUGGAUUGGUCGGGCAGCCAAGCGGUUCCAGGAAAUAGCCUCUUCAAUAUAGACCGUACCCGAAACCGACACAGGUGGUCAGGUAGAGUAUACCAAGGCGCUUGAGAGAAGUAUCCUGAAGGAACUCGGCAAAUUGCCUCCGUACCUUCGGAAGAAGGAGGCCCUCUCAUUACGCAAGUAGUGUGGAGGGGGCACAGGCCAGGGGGUAGCGACUGUUUAGCAAAAACACAGCACUCUGCUAAGUCGGCUUCAAGACGACGUAUAGGGUGUGACGCCUGCCCGGUGCUCGAAGGUUAAGAGGAGGAGUGCAAGCUCCGAAUUGAAGCCCGAGUAAACGGCGGCCGUAACUAUAACGGUCCUAAGGUAGCGAAAUUCCUUGUCGGG
rnacentral:rRNA from 1 species